rnacentral:rRNA from 1 species
UACGUAGGGGGCUAGCGUUGUCCGGAUUUAUUGGGCGUAAAGAGCGUGUAGGCGGCUAGGCAGGUCUGGUGUGAAAACUCGAGGCUUAACCUCGAGAUGUCAUCGGAAACCAUCUGGCUAGAGUCCGGAAGAGGAGAGUGGAAUUCCUGGUGUAGCGGUGAAAUGCGCAGAUAUCAGGAAGAACACCAAUGGCGAAAGCAGCUCUCUGGGACGGUACUGACGCUGAGACGCGAAAGCGUGGGGAGCGAACAGG